rnacentral:rRNA from 1 species
AGAGUUUGAUCCUGGCUCAGAGCGAACGCUGGCGGCAGGCCUAACACAUGCAAGUCGAACGGACCCUUCGGGGUUAGUGGCGGACGGGUGAGUAACACGUGGGAACGUGCCUUUAGGUUCGGAAUAGCUCCUGGAAACGGGUGGUAAUGCCGAAUGUGCCCUUCGGGGGAAAGAUUUAUCGCCUUUAGAGCGGCCCGCGUCUGAUUAGCUAGUUGGUGAGGUAAUGGCUCACCAAGGCGACGAUCAGUAGCUGGUCUGAGAGGAUGACCAGCCACACUGGGACUGAGACACGGCCCAGACUCCUACGGGAGGCAGCAGUGGGGAAUCUUGCGCAAUGGGCGAAAGCCUGACGCAGCCAUGCCGCGUGAAUGAUGAAGGUCUUAGGAUUGUAAAAUUCUUUCACCGGGGACGAUAAUGACGGUACCCGGAGAAGAAGCCCCGGCUAACUUCGUGCCAGCAGCCGCGGUAAUAC